GUGGUGUAACGGACCACCAAGGCUUCGACGGGUAGCUGGUCUGAGAGGACGAUCAGCCACACUGGGACUGAGACACGGCCCAGACUCCUACGGGAGGCAGCAGUGGGGAAUCUUGCGCAAUGGGCGAAAGCCUGACGCAGCAACGCCGCGUGAGGGACGAAGGCCUUCGGGUUGUAAACCUCUUUCAGCAGGGACGAUGAUGACGGUACCUGCAGAAGAAGCCCCGGCCAACUACGUGCCAGCAGCCGCGGUAAUACGUAGGGGGCGAGCGUUGUCCGGAAUCAUUGGGCGUAAAGAGCUCGUAGGCGGCUUUGCAAGUCGGGUGUAAAACAUCCAGGCUCAACCUGGAGCCGCCACUCGAUACUGCAAUGCUAGAGUCCGGUAGGGGAUCACGGAAUUCCUGGUGUAGCGGUGAAAUGCGCAGAUAUCAGGAGGAACACCGGUGGCGAAGGCGGUGGUCUGGGCCGGAACUGACGCUGAGGAGCGAAAGCGUGGGGAGCGAACAGGAUUAGAUACCCUGGUAGUCCACGCCGUAAACGUUGGGCACUAGGUGUGGGACCUUAUCGACUGGGUUCCGUGCCGCAGCUA
rnacentral:rRNA from 1 species